CCCGCUCAGAAACUCAAAUGAAUUGACGGGGGCCCGCACAAGCGGUGGAGCAUGUGGUUUAAUUCGAUGAUACGCGAGGAACCUUACCUGGGCUCAAAUGUAUGUUGACGUAUUCUGAAAGGGAUACUUCUUCGGACAAUAUACAAGGUGCUGCAUGGUUGUCGUCAGCUCGUGCCGUGAGGUGUCGGGUUAAGUCCCAUAACGAGCGCAACCCCUAUCAUUAGUUGCCAUCAGGUCAAGCUGGGGACUCUAAUGAAACUGCCUACGCAAGUAGUGAGGAAGGUGGGGAUGACGUCAAAUCAGCACGGCCCUUACGUCCAGGGCUACACACGUGCUACAGUGGCCGAUACAGAGGGCAGCUACCUGGUGACAGGAUGCAAAUCUCCAAAGUCGGUCUCAGUUCGGAUCGGAGUCUGCAACCCGACUCCGUGAAGUUGGAUUCGCUAGUAAUCGCGCAUCAGCCAUGGCGCGGUGAAUACGUUCCCGGGCCUU
rnacentral:rRNA from 1 species